rnacentral:rRNA from 1 species
UACGUAGGGGGCAAGCGUUGUCCGGAAUCAUUGGGCGUAAAGAGCGUGUAGGCGGCUCGGUAAGUCCGCUGUGAAAGUCCAGGGCUCAACCCUGGAAUGCCGGUGGAAACUGUCGAGCUAGAGUCCGGAAGAGGCGAGUGGAAUUCCUGGUGUAGCGGUGAAAUGCGCAGAUAUCAGGAAGAACACCCGUGGCGAAGGCGGCUCUCUGGGCCGAUACUGACGCUGAGGAGCGAAAGCGUGGGGAGCGAACAGG